GAUAAGUGCACCGCCUGGGGAGUAUGCUCGCAAGGGUGAUACUCAAAGGAAUUGACGGGGGCCCGCACAAGCGGUGGAGCAUGUGGUGUAAGUCGAGGAUACGCGAGGAACCUUACCAGGGUUUGACAUAUGGCGGACUGCGGCAGAGAUGUCGCUUCCCUUCGGGGCCGUCAUACAGGUGCUGCAUGGCUGUCGUCAGCUCGUGCUGUGAGGUGUUGGGUUAAGUCCCGCAACGAGCGCAACCCCUGCUGUCUGUUACCAGCACGUAAUGGUGGGGACUCAGGCGGUACUGCCGGUGACAAACCGGAGGAAGGUGGGGACGACGUCAAGUCAUCAUGGCCCUUAUGUCAUGGGCUACACACGUGCUACAAUGGCCGGUACAGAGUGCAGCGAAACCGCGAGGUGGAGCAAAUCACAGAAAGCCGUGCUCAGUACGGAUUGGAGUCUGAUACCCGACUUCAUGAAGCUGGAAUCGCUAGUAAUCGCGCAUCAGCAUGGCGCGGUGAUACGUUCCCGGGCAUUGUACACACCGCCCGUCAAGCCAUG
rnacentral:rRNA from 1 species